rnacentral:rRNA from 1 species
UACGUAGGGUGCAAGCGUUAUCCGGAAUUAUUGGGCGUAAAGAGCUCGUAGGCGGUUUGUCGCGUCUGCUGUGAAAACCCGAGGCUCAACCUCGGGCCUGCAGUGGGUACGGGCAGACUAGAGUGCGGUAGGGGAGAAUGGAAUUCCUGGUGUAGCGGUGAAAUGCGCAGAUAUCAGGAGGAACACCGGUGGCGAAGGCGGAUCUCUGGGCCGAUACUGACGCUGAGGAGCGAAAGCGUGGGGAGCGAACAGG